rnacentral:rRNA from 1 species
AGUGGAUGGGGAGCAACAAAAGUUGUGUGUGUGUAAAGGUAGUGCCAAGAAAAGCUGAGUUGAUGUUGAACAAAAGAUUCCGGUACCCGAAACCGACACAGGUAGGCAAGUAGAGAGUACUAAGGGGCGCGAGGUAACUCUCUCCAAGGAACUCGGCAAAAUGACCCCGUAACUUCGGGAGAAGGGGUGCCACCGAGAGGUGGUCGCAGUGAAGAGUCCCAGGCGACUGUUUAGCAAAAACAUAGGUCUCUGCAAACUCGAAAGAGGAGGUAUAGGGGCUGACGCCUGCCCAGUGCCGGAAGGUUAAAGAAGUUGGUCAGUCGAAAGAUGAAGCUAACGACUGAAGCCCCGGUGAACGGCGGCCGUAACUAUAACGGUCCUAAGGUAGCGAAAUUCCUUGUCGGGUAAGUUCCGACCCGCACGAAAGGCGUAACGAUCUGGGAGCUGUCUCGGAGAGAGGCUCGGCGAAAUAGGAUUGUCUGUGAAGAUACGGACUACCUGCAUUUGGACAGAAAGACCCUAUGAAGCUUUACUGUAGCUUGGAAUUGUGUUCGGGCUUGCUGUGCGCAGGAUAGGUGGGAGGCUAUGAAGGUAUGCUUGUGGGUGUACUGGAGCCGUCAGUGAGAUACCACUCUCAGGGGGCUAGAAUUCUAACUAAAGAAAGGACAGUUUCAGGUGGGCAGUUUGACUGGGGCGGUCGCCUCCAAAAAGGUAACGGAGGCGUACAAAGGUUCCUUCAGACUGGUUGGAAAUCAGUCGCAGAGUGCAAAGGCAGAAAGGAGCUUGACUGCGAGAAUUACAGUUCGAGCAGGGUGGAAACACGGUCUUAGUGAUCCGACGGUGCUGUGUGGAAGGGCCGUCGCUCAACGGAUAAAAGUUACUCUAGGAUAACAGGCUGAUCUCCCCCAAGAGUUCACAUCGACGGGGAGGUUUGGCACCUCGAUGUCGGCUCAUCGCAACCUGGGGCGGAAGUACGUCCCAAGGGUUGGGCUGUUCGCCCAUUAAAGCGGUACGUGAGCUGGGUUCAGAACGUCGUGAGACAGUUCGGUCCAUAUCCGAUGUAGGCGAGAGAAUAUUGAGAGGAGCCUUCCUUAGUACGAGAGGACCGGGAAGGACGCACCGCUGGUGUACCUGUUAUGAUGCCAAUUGUAAACGCAGGGUAGCCAAGUGCGGAGAGGAUAACCGCUGAAAGCAUCUAAGUGGGAAGCCCACCUCAAGAUGAGUAUUCUGUGUUAAGGUCACGGGAAGACGACCCGUAAAUAGGCACGAGGUGGAAGUGCAGUAAUGUAUGAAGCCGAAGUGUACUAAUAGACCGUCAGC